rnacentral:rRNA from 1 species
GGCUAACUACGUGCCAGCAGCCGCGGUAAUACGUAGGGAGCGAGCGUUGUCCGGAAUUACUGGGCGUAAAGGGCGCGUAGGCGGCGCUUCAAGUCGUCUGUCAAAAGCCGAGGCUCAACCUCGGCGCGCAGACGAAACUGGAGAGCUUGAGAAGCAGAGAGGCAAACAGAAUUCCUGGUGUAGCGGUGAAAUGCGUAGAUAUCAGGAAGAAUACCAGUGGCGAAGGCGGUUUGCUGGCUGCAUACUGACGCUGAAGCGCGAAAGCCAGGGGAGCAAACGGGAUUAGAUACCCCGGUAGUCCUGGCAGUAAACGAUGUAUGCUGGGUGUGGGACUAGCGAUAGUUCCGUGCCGAAGUUAACGCGAUAAGCAUACCGCCUGGGGAGUACGGUCGCAAGAUUGAAACUCAAAGGAAUUGACGGGGGCCCGCACAAGCGGUGGAGCACGUGGUUUAAUUCGAUGCAAACCGAAGAACCUUACCUGGACUUGACAUCCACGCGGUAGAGAAGCGAAAGCGGAUCGACCCUUUCGCAAGGAAGGGAACGUGAACAGGUGCUGCAUGGCUGUCGUCAGCUCGUGUCGUGAGAUGUUGGGUUAAGUCCCGCAACGAGCGCAACCCCUAUUGCCGGUUGCUACCAGAUAAAGCUGAGCACUCCGGCGAGACUGCCAUCGACAAGAUGGAGGAAGGUGGGGACGACGUCAAGUCAUCAUGGCCCAUAUGUCCAGGGCGACACACAUGCUACAAUGGAUGGUACAGAGAGAAGCGAGCCCGAAAGGAGAAGCAGAUCCCAAAAAGCCAUCCCCAGUUCGGAUUGCAGUCUGCAACUCGACUGCAUGAAGUUGGAAUCGCUAGUAAUCGCGGAUCAGCCAAGCCGCGGUGAAUACGUUCCCGGGCCUUGUACACACCGCCCGUCACACCAUCCGAGUCGGGUGCUCUCAAAGCCGGAGGCCUAACCGCGAGGAAGGAUCCGCCUAAAGAGUGUCCGGUGAGGAGGGUGAAGUCGUAACAAGGUAGCCGUACGGGAACGUGCGGCUG